rnacentral:rRNA from 1 species
AGGACGAACGCUGGCGGCGUGCUUAACACAUGCAAGUCGAGCGGUAAGGCCUCCUUCGGGGGGUACACGAGCGGCGAACGGGUGAGUAACACGUGGGUGACCUGCCCUCAGCUCUGGGAUAAGCCUGGGAAAACCGGGUCUAAUACCGGAUGGGACUGCUUGCCGCAUGGUGGGUGGUGGAAAGUUUUUUCGGCUGGGGAUGGGCCCGCGGCCUAUCAGCUUGUUGGUGGGGUGAUGGCCUACCAAGGCGACGACGGGUA